rnacentral:rRNA from 1 species
GUGGGCCCUCGAAAUCCUGUGGCGAGAGGAUUCAGUCUGGGGCAGCGGUCGUGCGGAUCGGAAGACCAGAAGGGCUUCCCCGGAAGGGGGCCGUCCGGUCGCACGGAGCGCCGCCGCACCCGACGCAUUUGUCUCUCGUCCGAAGGACGCCGCAGCCGGCUGGGUAGUGCAGACAAGACGACCUGUGGGGCGGGAGAUGGCAGGUGGCCGCUGGCGUGCCCUCGUGCUCGUCGGCGGUUGUUAGCCGUCCCGCCAGUGGUACGUCACCCGGCCGAGGUGUCGCGAGGCCCCUGCUGGGGCCUCAUCGUCUCCUCCCCCAGAGACGCGGGACAGAGUGUCGCAGGUGGAACCCGUCGCCCCGCACGCACCCCUGACGGGUGGUCGGGCGAACGGGAGACUCCGCUGGUGACGCCGGACCCGUUGGAGGCUGGAGGCUUGCGGCGAGUAGGUCGGUCACCCACCCGACCCGUCUUGAAACACGGACCAAGGAGUCUAACAUGUGCGCGAGUCAAUGGGUCUUGAACAGGCCCAGGGGCGCAAUGAAAGCAAAGGUCGGCCUCA